AAAAAGCACAAAAUCUAGUGGUGCUUGUUUAACUUCCAUUUCUUUUUCCCAUUGACAUUGAAGCCUCCCUGCAGUCAACUUUGCUUUUAGCAGACAGAUUACACCAUUGUCCUUGAUUCCAGGUCAGCGUGUGCCGAUUUAUCUGAGUACCUCAUCUGUGAGAAGAACCAUUAUUAAAAGCUUCUGGGGUAGGAACAGAUCAUUUCUCCUAUUAAAAGUUUUGUUUGUUCCAAAGUUUGAAUGAAAUGUUUUCAUGAGUUUUGCUUGAGGACACAUCUUACUCGCUGAAGCUGCUGGGAGUUUUUUCUUCUGUGUAUGCAUCUCCAAGGUGCUUUAUCAUGCAAGGGUAAUAGUGCAAGUCCACUGCUCCAGCCUACCCAAAACAAGAUCAGAGGGAACCUGGGGAAUCUUCAUUGUUUGGUUUUGUGUAACAGUAUCUGGUAAGAACCUGCUUUUCCAUUCUGCAAUGGCUGUACCAAGGCUGUUGAAAUUCUGUCAAAAUGAAUAGAGACUACCUUGAAAAAGGUAAAAUUAUGUAGUGAAAGAAAUACCUUCCUCCAAGAGUCUGAAAGCUUGCAAGAGCUGUUUCUACCUUUGUUUCUACCUUUGCAGUCAAACUGUAAUCCCCAGAUGAGGAACAGGGAAGAAAUAUGGGAAGGAAAGAAUGAGACAGGGAACUAAUGUGAAAUAGAUUCAUCUGUAUGUGGACUGGUGUUCACCCUGUCUCCUGUCUCCAUGAACAGGUGAAAACUUCUGUUCCAAGACAUGGAGAUACCCAGCCAACAAAAAGAACUAAUCAAUUACCAACUAUAUCCUUAUGACAGGUAGAAGUUUGACUCUAAUAUAAUUUUUCAUACCAGUGGGGAAAUUAACUUGGAGCAUAUAUAUUACUGUAGUGUUUAGUAAGAAAUACUAUUCUGUCAACAGUUACAUAUAGAGGUGUUGGUCAGGAAUCAAGGUCUGACUAAACUUAAAGAAAAUAUUUAACCCAAAUAACAUAACAAUUGCAUAUAUAUAAUGAAGUAGCAAUAUAGGGCUAAAAAAAAUAAAAUAAAAAAAUGUAGAACA
rnacentral:lncRNA from 1 species